ensembl:lncRNA
AGAGGAUGAAUUGGGAUUUUAAUCUAGAGAUAGAAAAGCAGAAGAGUAGUAUCCUAAACCAAGAAAAUGAGAUAAAGAAAUGAUGGGUGACAGCAAUGAUUUUAGACGCUUAAAAGACUGUUUUCUGAAAACAGUCUGAAGGAAAGGUGGCCUAUUUCUAUUGGUUCAGAAAGGAGAUGAGAGCCAUUUUCUCCAGGCCCACUGUGAGGUCCUGAAAAUAAACAGAAGAAAAAGGACAACUCAAGAGAUGUUGGGAGAGAACUAGAAUUUAGUGACUGAUUAAAUGGGAAGUGAAGGGCAAAAGAAGAGAAUUUUAAAAUGAUACUAAUGUCAGGGCCUGAGGAAAGGGUCUGCUGCUGCUGCUGCUGCUGCUGCUAAGUCGCUUCAGUCGUGUCCGACUCUGUGCAACCCCAUAGACGGCAGCCCACCAGGCUCCGCUGUCCCUGGGAUUCUCCAGGCAAGAACACUGGAGUGGGUUGCCAUUGCCUUCUCCAAUGCAUGAAAGUGAAAAGUGAAAGUGAAAGUGAAGUCGUGUCCAACUCCUAGCGACCCCAUGGACUGCAGCCUACCAGGUUCCUCCGUCCACGGGAUUUUCCAGGCAAGAGUACUGGAGUGGGGUGCCAUUGCCUUCUCCUAGGCAGGCACUUCUUAUUGAUGAUGAAAUCCAAGGUGAAAUAACUGGCUUAGCCACAAAGAGAAUGGAAGGAAGGUCACUGAUUUCUGAGCUGCCAAUGUAUUUUCUUCUCCUUUUUCUCAUUUUAACUUCUAGAUUUAGCUCCAAAACAUUUGCUCUUUCUCCCUUAAGGGGAAAUUCUAGGGUCAGAAGGUUAGUGGAGGGAGGGUAGAGAUGGUUUUAGGUUUUUAUAGUAGUUUAAUUCAAAAUUGUUAGGUAUCUCCUACCAAGAGACCACCACUCAAAUUUUUUCUUUAACAGAACAAGGCGAAGGGAGAGAUUUAAAUAUGGGUAAAAAAAAUUGAAAAGAAACUACAAAACUCUGGCACUGUGAAAGAUUCAGAAAAAAAAAAAUCCGAUAUCUGCUCUCAAGAUACAAUCUUAUUCUAGAGAAAAAAAAUGAAUUCCACUUUAAAUAGCUAAAUAACAAAAUGAAACAGUACAGGUAACAAGGUGUGGUAGAAGCAAAAUGCCAUGGGGAAGUCGUGUAUUUUACAACUUUUCCAACUAGAGGAAAGAGAGAGUGGGUCAAAUGUAAGCUACUCUAGUUUUUGAUAUUAGUUUUGUAGUAUAGCUAUAAUCCCAUUACAAAGAACUUCAAGGAACUGAUGACAUUUUUUUUUCUGCCCUGUAGUUUAUUGUCUCAAGUAUUGCUUGAAAUACCAGGCUACAUGCAGUGAGGUCUGCUCUAAUGGUAUUUGUUGACCUGUUGACCUGUAAGUUUGGGUCAGCCUGAAUAAAUGGAGAUGUACACUAUACAGGGAACCAGUUAGUCAGAUGGUUUGUAGUUAGGCUUUCACUAUUUUUACAAUGCUUUAUUAUUAAUAUUUUUACCCUGAAGACUAAUCACUAUUCUCAAAUAAUCUUGUUAUUAUAUGAAACAGUAAUAUUUAUUAAGGGUGCUUCUGGAAGUCUCCAAAUGGGGAUAUGCAGAGGUGGAUUUACUAUGAAUUUAAUGGAACUUAAACUUCAGGGUCCCUCACUUGCACAGUCCCCCCCUUCCCCUGCAAAGACCCUGUACUUAAUUUUUAAUCAUACUUCUGUAUUCUUUUCCUUAAAGAGUGUCCCCAAAAUAGCUUAAGUUUCUGGCAAAAUCUUGAUCCACCUUCGGUAUAAAACAAUCUUGAAGGAGUCAAACCUGACUACCCUUAAAGGCCAAUUCAAAGAGUGAUAUAAGACGUACUUUUACAAGCAUAUACAAAUGACAUUUCCAAAUGUAUCCCUCCUAUUGUUGUCAUCUUCCACCUUGACUCCCCUGCCC